UGUGGCAUUAGAAGUUAAUUUAUGAAAAUCAUGAUUAAUUUCUGGUUUUAUUUCAAAAGAUAAACAAAUAUUUUCAAUGAAAAUGUGAUGAAACCAUGCAUUGCUAAUCUAAAUGAUUAAGCGAAACAUAGAUGAGAACAGAAAUAAUAGCUAGAAAUAUAUUCAUACUUGCAAUAGUGUCUAUCAACUUUAUGUGUAGGAUACAUAUCCCAGGCAAUCUGGCAAUACUCUUGGCCGAUUACAUCACAAGAUUUUAUCGAGAAAACACCUAGAAAUAUGGCAUUUUAUAUAAAAAAUGACAUGUUAUAGUUUGGGGUAAUAUAAAUCGUUCAGAAUAUGUUAAAAGCACUGAAAGUAAGCCACCCGUGGCAGACUAUUGUAGUUAAGUUUAUUCUAAUAAACCAAUUAAUUUAUAAGACUAUGGCACACAAUUUCCGGGUCAUAUCACUUUCAAUGUAUCUCUCCCCUGUCUCAUUCUCUCUUUAUGUCUGUCUUUCUCUCGCUAUGCACGCACACACACACACACACACACACACACACACACACACAUACACACACACACACACAAUCACACACACACACAUACACACACACAUACAUAUAUAUAUGUGUUUGGAUUUCCAAUAUUUGUGCGCGUUUGUCUAGAGCUAAGUUUGGAGCGUUGAUAUGGUCACGUCUUUUAUCUGGAUGUUUACAACAUCAGGACUUUAGCCCACAUGAAUCAAUGCAGGAUUGCAUCUAAGGACUUAUAGUCGUAUUUCUACAACAUUGCAUUCGGACUUGCAGGUGGACAGAUAAAAAGCUGACCAAAUCUUUAUGUAUCCACCCUGAAAACGGAGCCCGAAUAUAUUCAAUGUUUAUUUGCUUCCAUUAUUGUUUGCAUUUUCUCGUGAACUGCAUUUGCCAACACUAUGAAGUACCUUGGGGACUCAGAAACAGCUGUCAAACUUCUGGUGUUGCUUUCUUUACUGCUUUGUAACUGUGUUGUUCACGUAAAAGUGACCAGGAAGACAAUACUAGGCUGACAACAAUAGGCUGAAAACAGAGGUCACUGCCUGGAAUCGAACUCGGAAUCUUAGGUUUAGUAGCCCGCACUCUUAACUACUACGCCAUAUGCGCGUACAUAAUUCCUCAUCUCUUAAAUAUAGAACAGAAAUAUAAAUGUUUAACAAUGAAAUGGUUGAAUGCUUGAAGCUAACAGCUAUACUUUCGCAUAAACGAACACUACGUUUAUAUUGCAAUAAUACUCUACACUAAUACAAUUAAUAUUGUUAAAUCAAAACCUCAAUUAGAAAACUGAGAUACAGAUACAUAUCAAGUACACAUAAGAUUCUCUUCGUAAAUUCUGAUCGUAAAGUGAUAAAAAGAAAUUGCGAAAUUUCGAAAACUGCGAAGACAAUGUAUGAAUCGCAAAAUACUUCAUUUGAUAUAAUCAUGGCUGUUAACGGCACUUCAUAAUCUACUUUAAUUUAUAACCGCGUUAAUAUUGCCGCUCUCAAACAGAGCUAGCAUGAUGGAUUUUAAUAAACAGUUUUAUCUUACGGGAAACAAUUAUUCUGCUGUACUGAUGUCAAUAUCGAUAUCAAUGGUAAACUUUCUUAUGAACACAUAAGGCUUUACCACAUUCUACAGACUUAAAACGUGAAAUCUGUUAUAAAAAAAGCCGAAUUUUUCUACAAGAACAUCGAAAUAUGUACCAUGACAGUAUCUGACAAUCGAACGCGAAAUGUUCCCCUUGAAAAACACACGGUAGUGUUCUCUUUUCUUUUUUUCUUUUUUUUUUUUGAAGUUGAUUUAUCGAUUUGUAUCAAUACAUUACACCUUUUGAAACAGGGAUAAUUGCAAGAAAUACGUAACCCAAUUCAUUGUAUAAAAAGACCGCCGAUUGUCAUUCUCCCAUUCAAUUGUUAACAAUGAAAUUCGUUAACGUAAUAAUAAGAUUUACAUCCAAGUAAAAAGUAGAUGGAAAUGAACUUUGUCAUGUUUGCGUAAUACUAAACCUAUGUAUAAUGGAAAUAUUGAGGCGCGAAAGUUAACCGAAAAUGAAAGAAAGAAAGAAAAACAAGUCAAUACACAAAAUGAUUCGUAACCAAAUUCUUCAGCCUUAACGGAAACGUAUUCAACAACACACAUCAAAGAAACAAUUCAUUUAAAAGAACGAUCAUCACUGAUGACGGAUUUGUCGUAGCACGGAAAAGCAUUUUAAUCACUUCUAUCGCCUGCUACGGAACUUCUGAAUGUAGCUCAUGUGAUACAACAAGUUGUUGAAGUAAGUUCAUAUAUCUGCGUGUUUAUUUGCGUCUGUGCGUAUCUGUGUCUCUGCGAGAAUAUGUGUGUGUGUGUGUGUGUGUGUGCGUGUGCGUGCUGCUCUAAAUAUCGGUGCUUAACAAUUACUUGAUUGUUGCAUUCGUCCAUCCAAUAUAUUGGUAAAAAACAUUUCCUUACUACUGUAUUUAUCAAUUUUCGUUGAUCAGUGCAAACUGUAUUACAGAAUGCUAUAAUAAGAUUUUGAUGAGGACUUGAAGGAAAUAAUUUUUGCAUAGUACCUUAAAUGUUACAUCCCUAUUCUCUUUAAUCUGUCUAAUUCGAUAAAAGUUAGGUGGCAGACGAUUAACAUCAUGAGGAAUGUGUACAGGAAUAGGUUAAAUGAGUUAUGUCAGACGAAGAAACUAGUAAACUAUCACAUUUACUUCUUAAUAUACAGCUUUGUGGCCAUUACACUGCGUAACAUUCUUUUAAAGCCUUUUGUUUUUGGUCAGUAAUUUUUAUUUCUUAUUUGCAUGUAUCUGGAAAUCAAAGGAAAUGACUACUCUUCCAUUCAAACUUUGCUUAUGUCACUUGGGCAUCAAAAGUUUGAAACUGACCAAUUUUCCAUUAGAUUUUAGACAGAUACAGCGCUUGAGUUGCUGAAGCAGAAAUAUCGUUAAAGCAAAUAUACUGCUCAAUAUUACAGAUUUGCCUGUCCAUCGCUUGACCUUAACCACAUGAGCAGGUCCGUUUAGGACUGACAGUAUGUGGGUCUUUGAUACUGAGCAGGAGUAGUGUUGAAGCAUCUAGCCAUGUAUUGAGAGGGAUAAUUUGGAGUUCAAUGAAUGUAAGAAAAGAGAAAAAAUAGAUUUGGAGGAAAUAUUAGCCAUUUUCAUUAAUUUUAGAAGUAAGCAAAAUGGAAAUAAGAACUGCUUCCAAAAGACAAAAAAACAUGUUGCAUAGUAUUAGCUAUACAAGAAAAAAAGAAAGAAAUGUGAAAUCUUGUAAUCAAACUACAUGCAUGAUGAUGUUACCUUGAAUGUCAUGAGCAGGAAAAUACAUAAUAUUUUCCACUAUUAUGGCUAUAAUUUGUUAUUAUUAUCUGUCCCGUAAAACCGCAUUCAACCAGAAGCUUACAUAUAUUUUACAUCAAAAGGAAGUUUCUAAAGUCCAUCUAGGUUUCUUGUGAUGUUUGUUUCUUUUAAUCAUUGAAAUGCAACAAUGCUGACGCCAUUACGAAAGGUUAAGUCGAACAAACGGAUCCUAGUAACCGUUAUUUCUUUUUAUAUUCUUUUAUAUUUUACAUUGGCCACUGUGCCGAACUUUCCGUUACAUGUAUGUAAGCAAACCAAAACUAGUUGCGAAUUUACUAAGAAUACAAACCCAAGAAUACACAAAUAUACAGACACAAACACUCAUACGCACAUAGACACAUGCACACACGCACAUAUAUAUGUAUACCAUUCUUCUAGUAUAUGUUACCCAAAUUACUCGGCAACUUGUGUUGGUUUCUUUUCAUCCACAUAACGUAGCAUAAAUACCACAGAAUAAUUAAUUGGAUCGAUAUGUUGGACGAAAUCCCUCAAGACGGUGGCGUCGCAUGGCGACUGUCUACAAGCUGGAACAAAUAAAAGAUAAGAAAACGCAAAUAUAGCCACAUAUACUUUUACUUCAGUAUGUUUUCCGAAAGUAUGUCUCAUUGUUUGAAAUGUGAUCUAGAAAAGAAAUAGAAGCAUCCGUAUGUUAAAAAUAAAUAUUGAAGGAAAUUUUAUGUUAAAUUUAAAAAAUUCUCCUUACCGAAGUGUUGUGUGUAUUGACAUGACAACGGUAAUAUUAUUUUCUACUCUAAAAACAAAAGCGAAACUUUGGGGGAAGGGGCCAGGCGAUUAGAUUGACCCCAGUAUGCAACCGGUACUUAAUUUAUCGACCCGGAAUGGAUGAAUGGCAGAGUCGGAAUUUGAGCUCAGACCAAAAAAAUGCCUCCGAGGUCGACUUUGCAUUUCAUCCUUUCGAGGUCGAUAAACGAAGUAACAGCUGCGUGGUGCGGUCGAUCUAAUCGACUGGUUCACUUUCCCAAAAAUUUCGAAGCUUGUGUUUAGAGUAGAAAAGAAUAUUUACGUAUGCUCAGCGUAGGCAGGUCAGUACUUAGGCACCGAACAAUAGCGACAAGGUUAUGUUGUUAUUCUGUUAUCAUGUAGAUAUUUCAUUCCUGUUACAGUGAUAUGCUUAUGAUAUUUUAUAGAUACCAAUGAAUUAUUAUGUAGAUAUCAACACCGCUAUAAGUGUGAUGUAGAUUUGUUCGAAUUAUAUUCCUUACCUUAUUGAGAUCUUCACGCCUCUGUCACAUCGAGACCAAUGAAGAAUGUAAAUCUAUUUAGCGCUAUAAAUAAAUAAAUGUGUUUCUCUUCUAUUACAACAAGAACGAUAUAAUAAGUAUCAGUAAGACAUUUUGUGAAAUGGUAUUACUGGAUGCAAAAUAUAUUUCUCGUUCAGUCUUGAAUUUGAUGGACAUUUCUAUACCUGAAAUAGUGAAAAUAAAUUUCGAUCAUAUAUUACUUUAAUAUGUACAGUUUCAUAUAAUAAACUGUCCAAGAUAAACUUUCAUUCGAAGUGUAUAUUCCACUAGUUUCCAUUUAUAAUAUGAGUAUCAAUGUGGUUUCUUUUUUCUUUUUUACAUCAACUAAAAUGACUUGUAUUAAAUGGUAUUUAGUUAUCUAUAAAUCAACAAAUAUGGACUGUGGUUUAUAUAAACU